AGAACGAACGCUGGCGGCAUGCCUAAUACAUGCAAGUCGAACGAAGGCUUCGGCCUUAGUGGCGCACGGGUGCGUAACGCGUGGGAAUCUGCCCCUUGGUUCGGAAUAACAGUUGGAAACGACUGCUAAUACCGGAUGAUGACGAAAGUCCAAAGAUUUAUCGCCAAGGGAUGAGCCCGCGUAGGAUUAGCUAGUUGGUGAGGUAAAGGCUCACCAAGGCGACGAUCCUUAGCUGGUCUGAGAGGAUGACCAGCCACACUGGGACUGAGACACGGCCCAGACUCCUACGGGAGGCAGCAGUGGGAAUUUGGACAAUGGGG
rnacentral:rRNA from 1 species